ensembl:lncRNA
CUGACCGCUGUCUCAUCCACUCUCCUGGAGGCUGUCCCCUGACCCCUGUCUCCUCCACUCUCCUGGAGGCUGACCCCUGUCUCCUCCACUCUCCUGGAGGCUAACCCCUGUCUCCUCCACUCUCCUGGAGGCUGACCCCUGUCUCCUCCACUCUCCUGGAGGCUGACCCCUGAUCCCUGUCUCCUCCACUCUUCUGGAGGCUUACCCCUGUCUCCUGCACUCUCCUGGAGGCUGACCCCUGUCUCCUCCACUCUCCUGGAGGCUGACCCCUGACCCCUGUCUCCUCCACUCUUCUGGAGGCUUACCCCUGUCUCCUGCACUCUCCUGGAGGCUGACCCCUGUCUCCUCCACUCUCCUGGAGGCUGACCCCUAUCUCCUCCACUCCUCUGGAGGCUGACCCCUGACUCCUCCACUCUCCUGGAGGCUGAACCCUGACCCCUCCAAUCUCCUGGAGGCUGACUCCUGUCUCCUGUACUCUCCUGGAGGCUGACCCCUGUCUCCUCCACUCUCCUGGAGGCUGAUCCCCAUCUCCUCCACUCUCCAGGAGGCUGACCCCUCCACUCUCCUGGAG